rnacentral:misc_RNA from 1 species
GAAGUGCGAUAAGCAAUGCGAAUUGCAGAACCGCGAGUCAUCAGAUUUUUGAACGCAAGUGGCGGCAACUUAGGUUGUCAUGGUUGUUUCAGUGUGUCCGGUUAAUUACAUCAUGGAAUAUAAUGUGAUUGAAGAGAUUCUCUCACAAAAUAUGAAGUAGUGUCAAUGAAGACUCCAAACGAACUAGUCACUAAAUGGUGAUAAUCGUUUGAGGAUCGGAAUUGGUGAAUCACUGCUUGAUAACUUAUUAUCCAUUAUGGCACCUGAAAUAAGCAAGAGUACCCGCUGAACUUAA